rnacentral:rRNA from 1 species
AGUGAACGCUGGCGGUAGGCCUAACACAUGCAAGUCGAACGGCAGCACAGUAAGAGCUUGCUCUUACGGGUGGCGAGUGGCGGACGGGUGAGGAAUACAUCGGAAUCUACUUUUUCGUGGGGGAUAACGUAGGGAAACUUACGCUAAUACCGCGUACGACCUACGGGUGAAAGCAGGGGAUCUUCGGACCUUGCGCGAUUGAAUGAGCCGAUGUCGGAUUAGCUAGUUGGCGGGGUAAAGGCCCACCAAGGCGACGAUCCGUAGCUGGUCUGAGAGGAUGAUCAGCCACACUGGAACUGAGACACGGUCCAGACUCCUACGGGAGGCAGCAGUGGGGAAUAUUGGACAAUGGGCGCAAGCCUGAUCCAGCCAUACCGCGUGGGUGAAGAAGGCCUUCGGGUUGUAAAGCCCUUUUGUUGGGAAAGAAAAGCAGCAGGUUAAUACCCCGCUGUUCUGACGGUACCCAAAGAAUAAGCACCGGCUAACUUUGUG